AGUGAACGCUGGCGGUAGGCCUAACACAUGCAAGUCGAACGGCAGCACAGGAGAGCUUGCUCUCUGGGUGGCGAGUGGCGGACGGGUGAGGAAUACAUCGGAAUCUACUCUGUCGUGGGGGAUAACGUAGGGAAACUUACGCUAAUACCGCAUACGACCUACGGGUGAAAGCAGGGGACCUUCGGGCCUUGCGCGAUUGAAUGAGCCGAUGUCGGAUUAGCUAGUUGGCGGGGUAAAGGCCCACCACAGCGACGAUCCGUAGCUGGUCUGGGAGAAUGAGCAGCCACACUGGAACUGAGACACGGUCCAGACUCCUACGGGAGGCAGCAGUGGGGAAUAUUGGACAAUGGGCGCAAGCCUGAUCCAGCCAUACCGCGUGGGUGAAGAAGGCCUUCGGGUUGUAAAGCCCUUUUGUUGGGAAAGAAAUCCAGCUGGCUAAUACCCGGUUGGGAUGACGGUACCCAAAGAAUAAGCACCGGCUAACUUCGUGCCAGCCGCCGCAGUAA
rnacentral:rRNA from 1 species